rnacentral:rRNA from 1 species
UACGUAGGGUGCGAGCGUUAAUCGGAAUUACUGGGCGUAAAGCGUGCGCAGGCGGUUUUGUAAGCCAGAUUUGAAAUCCCCGGGCUUAACCUGGGAAUGGCAUUUGGGACUGCAAGGCUGGAGUGCGGCAGAGGAGACUGGAAUUCCUGGUGUAGCAGUGAAAUGCGUAGAUAUCAGGAGGAAUACCGAUGGCGAAGGCAGGUCUCUGGGCCACUACUGACGCUGAGAAGCGAAAGCAUGGGGAGCGAACAGG